rnacentral:rRNA from 1 species
AGCGAACGCUGGCGGCAGGCUUAACACAUGCAAGUCGAGCGGGCACUCUCGGGUGUCAGCGGCGGACGGGUGAGUAACGCGUGGGAACGUGCCCUCUGGUUCGGAAUAACUCAGGGAAACUUGAGCUAAUACCGGAUACGCCCUUUUGGGGAAAGGCUUGCUGCCGGAGGAUCGGCCCGCGUCUGAUUAGCUAGUUGGUGAGGUAACGGCUCACCAAGGCGACGAUCAGUAGCUGGGCUGAGAGGAUGAUCCGCCACACUGGGACUGAGCCACGGCCCAGACCCCUACGGGAGGCGGCAGUGGGGAAUAUUGGACAAUGGGCGCAAGCCUGAUCCAGCCAUGCCGCGUGAGUGCUGAAGGCCUUAGGGUUGUAAAGCUCUUUUAUCCGGGACGAUAAUGACGGUACCGGAGGAAUAAGCCCCGGCUAACUUCGUG